UACAGAGGGUGCGAGCGUUGUUCGGAAUUAUUGGGCGUAAAGGGCGCGUAGGCGGCUUUUCAAGUGACGGGUGAAAUCCCUCGGCUUAACCGAGGAACUGCCUGUCAGACUGGAAGGCUUGAGACCGGGAGAGGUGAGUGGAAUUCCCAGUGUAGCGGUGAAAUGCGUAGAUAUUGGGAGGAACACCAGUGGCGAAGGCGGCUCACUGGACCGGAACUGACGCUGAGGCGCGAAAGCGUGGGGAGCAAACAGG
rnacentral:rRNA from 1 species